AUUGAACGCUGGCGGCAUGCCUUACACAUGCAAGUCGAACGGCAGCACGGGUGCUUUCACCUGGUGGCGAUUGGCGAACGUGUGUGUAAUACAUCUGAACAUUUCCUUUUGUUUGGGUUAGCCCUGCGAAAGCCGGAUUAAUACCGCAUACGAUCCACGUAUUAAAGCUGGGUACCUUCUUUCCUCGCUCUUUUGGUUUUUCCGAUGGCUGAUUAGCUAGUUGGUGUGGUAAAGGCCUACCAAGGCGACGAUCAGUAGCUGGUCUGAGAGGACGACCAGCCACACUGGGACUGAGACACGGCCCAGACUCCUACGGGAGGCAGCAGUGGGGAAUUUUGGACAAUGGGCGAAAGCCUGAUCCAGCAAUGCCGCGUGUGUGAAGAAGGCCUUCGGGUUGUAAAGCACUUUUGUCAGGAAAGAAAACAUUGACUCUAAUACAGUCGGGGGAUGACGGUACCGGAAGAAUAAGCACCGGCUAACUACGUG
rnacentral:rRNA from 1 species